UUAUGGCUCAGGAUGAAUGCUGGCGGCAUGCCUAAUACAUGCAAGUCGAGCGGUAACAGGACUAGCUUGCUAGUUGCUGACGAGCGGCGGACGGCUGAGUAACGCGUGGGAACGGACCCAAACUGAGGGAUAACGCACCGAAAGGUGUGCUAAUACCGCAUGUGAUCUUCGGAUUAAAGCUUUCGAGCGGUUUGGGACUGGCCUGCGUACGAUUAGAUAGUUGGUGAGGUAAUGGCUCACCAAGUCAACGAUCGUUAGAUGGUUUGAGAGGAUGAUCAUCCAGACUGGGACUGAGACACGGCCCAGACUCCUACGGGAGGCAGCAGUAGGGAAUCUUUCACAAUGGGCGAAAGCCUGAUGGAGCAAUGCCGCGUGCAGGACGAAGGCCUUCGGGUUGUAAACUGCUUUUAUAAGCGAGGAAUAUGACGGUAACUUAUGAAUAAGGAUCGGCUAACUACGUGCCAGCCGCAGC
rnacentral:rRNA from 1 species